rnacentral:rRNA from 1 species
UACGUAGGGUCCGAGUGUUGUCCGGAAUUACUGGGCGUAAAGAGCUCGUAGGUGGUUUGUCGCGUUGUUCGUGAAAACUCACAGCUCAACUGUGGGCGUGCGGGCGAUACGGGCAGACUGGAGUACUGCAGGGGAGACUGGAAUUCCUGGUGUAGCGGUGGAAUGCGCAGAUAUCAGGAGGAACACCGGUGGCGAAGGCAGGUCUCUGGGCCGAUACUGACGCUGGAGGAGCGAAAGCGUGGGGAGCGAACAGG